rnacentral:lncRNA from 1 species
UUUUAUAUUAAUCAGGAUUCGUUUUUAAGUUGAAGUGACCAAAAUACAACUCAAACUAACUCAAGCAAAAAAGAAAUAGGUACUGGGGAGAGGGGACAGUAGGGGAACAGGCUCCCACAUACUGAGAUCUGGGAACACAAAGGGAAGUUAUCAGGUCUCUCUCCCUCUCAGCUCUGCUUCUUUCAGUGUGGUGGCCUCAUUCUUUCUAACUGAAGAACGAUCUUUACUGCAGAAAAUUCUAAGCAUUAUUGUGGCAGAUCCAGUAAGUCCCAGAGAAGGAUUCUGAUUGGUCCUGCUUCAGUCACAUGCUUGCAUCUUAGUCCAAUCACUGUGGCCUGGAGGAUGGGACACCAUGAUUUGCAAGACUCUGGUCACAUGCCCACACCUGUGGCUUCUGAAGCAGAGCACCAGCAGUGACAGUCCCACCAGAACCGCAUGGAAUAGAAAACUGUGCAUUUCCCUAAGGAAAGGGAAUGCCAGAGAAGGGCAGAAGGGAAAUCAGGAAGACAAAACGGUAAAUUACCUACCACAAAUCCAAUUCAUUGGUAUUUUUCCACUUACACUUAACCAAGCAACGAUUUCUCCUGGUCCCAUAAUGGAAAAGAGGGUUUAUCUAGAUUCAUAUAUACAAGACUGAAGAGUGAAGAGAGACCCAGAGAAUGUUCUAAAAUCUGCCAGUUAGCAUAAUCACACAGAGAAAUCUCUGCUUCCAGAGGAGGAGCCAAGUUCAAGUCAGAGUGUCUUCAUGUUGGAGUGGACCUUUCCUCUAUCUGUCAACAGAAUGGAUAAAUUGUGGAAGAGUAAUAUCAGAAUACUACACAUCAGUAAAAAACAACAAACUUCUGCUACAAACAAUCAACAUCGAUGAAUCUUUCAGGCAAAAGGUUAUAGAAACAGAUGAUCAGUGGCCCACGGAUUCCAGGUGAGGAUCUGGGACCCAGACAUCCAGAUAUUGAAAACACAGGGAUGGAGUCUGUAUGGAAAAAAUUAAAAUAUAGCAAAAUGUGAAAUACGGAAGAGAAAUCUUUCAAUUUCCCAAUGGAAGUGAGAAAAGAGCAAAGAAAAGUAUUGGUCUUCCAAAACAAAUAGAGGACGGAGCUGCUGCUGUUGCAUGGUGUCUAGAAACUCAGACAACUUCAUCAUUCCAUAUUUGCAUCCAAGAGAGAGAAAGAAAAACUACAAUCAUUUUCCAUUUACCCAUCAACCCAUCAACCUCCAAAUAAAGGCUAUUAAAAAACAAUCAAAGUGUGAAGAGGGCAGAAAAUGUGAUGAAGAGAUUCUUUGGAGAAAGUAGCUGCCACUGUUACCUUGGGAUCUGCCUAUAGUCCUCACAGAGCUUGAGACAGGGUCUCACUAUGUUGCCCCAGUUGGCCUUGAACUGCUGGACUCAAGGGAUCCUCCUGCCUCAGCAUCCUGAGUAGCUGGGUCUACAGGCAUGAACCACCAGGCCCAGAACCCUGUCUUUUGAAAGCCAUAUGCGAUCUGUCUGCCCUGAAGUGACUACUUCAUCUCCAACCAGCCCUUGGCUGGCAAAGUCAGGAAGACUCCAGUCUUUCCUGAAGACCAGGGGAGAGUUUAUAACUCUAGCAUCAAAGUCAGCAGCUGUUCAUCUAGAAGACAACUUCCCAAAAGUCAAUGUCUUUGCCUGAAGCUUUUCUUCCCAGAUCUCCUAUGGUGAAACAACCAAAGGGAAGAAGAAUGUGGGCAGCCCUCAGUAAGACAGGAGAUGAGCAUCAACAUUGACCCAUUCUUUCUUCCAGUCCUCGAUGCUUACCUUGUACAUUCUUCUUUGUCUUCCGACUCAGUGCCUUUAGGGUAUGGACGUUGCCUGGUCCCACACAAGCCAAGCAUCAAAUGGAUGGCUCAACAAGGAGGCCAAGACCAGCUAAUGUUUAGUGAGCACCCAAAGGGGCCACACUGGAGAGAACAGCACAGCUCCGUCUGAGAAACAGCUGUUCCUUCCUGCCUGAGAGGCAGAGUGAUAGAAGAUAUCACAGAAUGUUGCUGCUUUGUCUUCCACCCUGAACCCUCCACGACCUCCCUGUAGCUUCCUGAUUUUAAGUAGACAUCAAAUGAUUCUUAAUCCUUUCUGGGUCUUGGAACGAUUUGAAAAUUGUCAACAGUACUGGGAUUCCCAGAAUAAUGCACAUAUGUACAUACUCAGAUAUUCCCCAAGCCCUGGAUAUAAUUUUAAGGGAGUUCACAGACCACACUCCCCCACCCAUCUGUGGACCCAGAUUCUGUGGGUUCGAGAUUCAGAAGCCCUGUUUCUAGGCAGGCCCUCUGUUGCUAACGCCCCUCGAGAACAUCACCCUAGAUGAUUAUCCCUUCUUCCUCCACUCCUUCCCACCUUCUCCAACUGCUGGGUUUCAGCACAAAGAUUGCUUGCCAGUUAAACUGGCACCAUGGACCGCACAGUAGUUGUUUCUUGGGUCUAGAGGAAACAGCCAGAUUCCUUUAAGUAAAUCAUGUCUUAGUUAUUGAUUGUCUCCACUUGAAGUUUUUGACAAUCUCUGAUUAAAUCAUAAACCACUGCAUCCUCCAUCUCCUGCUUCAGUCUCUCAAACCAAAUGUCAGUUUCUUUGUAGCCCUUCAAUUCAAAGUUUGCAAAUUCUGGAUCUAGGCUUCAUUCUUUCACUCAUUUAAGCACUAACAUCUAUUGCAUAACUAUUAAAUGCCAGGCACUGUUCUAGGCAUCAGGGACAUAAUAAUGUACAAAACAGCCUUCAUGUUAAUUUACUUAUUCUCUUCCAAAAUGCUAAUUCUAACCAGUGCUGCUUUAAAAACCAUUAUAAUUAUUACAAUAACUGCCUAAGUUAUAAGCUCUAUUCUAA